GCCCGGAUGGUGGAACAGGUCAGACACGGGGGCCUUAAAAGCCCCUGCCCCUCGGGGCGUGUGGGUUCGAAUCCCACUCCGGGCA
rnacentral:tRNA from 1 species